GGCGCUGCCAGCCGCUCUGUCCCGCCGGGCUUUAAACCCUCCGAAGGAACGCGUGGGAUCACCGUUCCGAGCAGGAGCAGUUUGCAGUGCACAGAUUUCUCAGUGCACACAGGAACAGGUGUGUGCCCCCAGGAGGAAGCAUCCAGCCCUGGCUGAUGAGAGAAGAGGCAGAGCCCGCCGCAAUCCGUGGGGACUCCGUAAGGAUGUGCAGCCACCCACAGAGUUACAUGUGCUGGAGCUUUUGACAACACAGAACACCUUCCCUGCUGUCUUUUUCUCUCUCUCCACUAAUCCUCCUCCCACUCAGCAAGAAAAGUCGCUGCACAGGCUCACACAGAUGCCACGCUAUCAGCCUUACUCUAGAAUGAUUUCACACAUCUCUGGAGAACUGUUCCUGGCUCUUGUUUAGGGAGGCUGGCAAUCGGGUUCUCUGCAGUGUUUGAGCUGUACCCUCAGAUAAACAACACUUUCAGGUUGUGGCUGAUUACUAUUUCCUGUUCUUGCUCUCAGAAUUCCUGCAAGAGAAGCUCCAAGGACCUCACUUGGGUGGAUGGAGCUGUGCUGUCCCCAGCUUCCCUCUGCCAUGUGAGUGUCAGCACAAAUGCCUGUGCUCACAAUUUAUGAACAGAAAUGCAAAACAUGUUUGUCUGGUACAGAAAUGCCAGCCUUCCAAACCUCAGGUAGCCUCAGAUGGUGUUUUUGAUAGAUCUGUAUGUCUUGCCUGCUGCUGAAGAUUUCUCUCUGGAUCUUUCAGUGUCAGUUUGCUCUUUUGAGGGUGGUUUCAGUACAGGAGAUGGAGAUGAACAUGGAAGCACCAGGAGAAGUCUCCACAUGACGUCCAGCCAGCUCAGGACUGAAUUUCAUCCAUAGCCACUACAAGUUUAGAAGGUGCUAUAGAGAAGUGCAACCUUACAGAAAUAAAUAGUAAGGCAGAUGAGGUUUUACAGCAAGGGAAAACAUCACAGGUUUUGUAUAAUCUGGCACUGGCCAUUUUUGGUAUGCCAGGGUAAGUGUCUCUGCUCUCUGUGUGGUUGGGUGAGUUAAAAUGAAUCCAUGGGUGUAAUUCAGAGCCUGGGUGGAUUGAACUGAUUCCCCUUCAGAGCUUAAACUGGCUCUGUAAGUAUAAACCAUACAAAUUCCUCCUUUGUCAGCGUAAGGCCUUUCAAAGAAAUCUCAGUUUUUACAUUUUUACACAAUUCUUAAUCCCAUUCUAUUCUUUCCUUGUAUUUUGAGCACAUUUGGAGCCUGUGCCACCACUUGACCCCACAUAUGUGCACCAGCUCCAUGACUCACCUUUGAGCACUACUGCACAUGAUGAAUAUUGGGUUUGUGUAACAGAUCUCUGGCAGAGGGGUUAUUUCCCCAAGUUUUUGAAUUAGGAGGAUCUGGGAUACCCUUUGUUUCAUGCUUCAGUGUUUGACUCACGACUCUAAUCUGGUACCAAUCUUCAUGGCUUUAUGUACCUCUUACCCGCCUACAGCUCAGAUUGAUUUUCCUCCUACUCACCCUUUUGCUCACUACUCUCCUUGCAGUUCUCCUCUAACUAAUCCCUCUUGUUUCCCACUGCUCUGUUUUGUUUGUUCCCUCCUCUUCCUCCCUGCUCUGUGCUGCUCAACCUGUCCAGCCAGAGGAUGCUGAGCCUUACAGCCAAGGGGGCAGUGCCUCGCUGGGCUCCUCAGCAGACUGACACUGGGUACUUCCAGGAGUGCUUCAGAGUAUGGAUUUCCUUCAUGACACUCCUUAUCCUCCACCAGAACCCUCCUGUACAGUUAAUCCUCAGCAAUUCAUUGUUAGACCGCUCGGAAUCUGCGUUUUGGAGAGAGACCCUGCAUUUCCCAAACCAUCCCGAGUCUCUGGGGAACUGUUGGGCAGCUUGAGUUGAAGUUAGACAAACAGCAUAGAGAAUAGAGGGGAAAUAUUCUGGCUGUUUUGCACAUGGCUGCUUUCAUGGUAUGCCCCUCAGCCUGCAAGUGAACUGUUUAUAAAGAUAAUUCCACUAAGCACACACAACUGAUUCAUUUCCCUGCUGCAGCCACACUCCCAGAAAUCCUGCUGAAACACUUCUGCAGGAUUAAAAUGAAACUUCUGCAGUUUUAUUUCUGCAGUAUUCCUGUGGGUUAGGGCUCCUUGGGAAGUUCACUCAAUAACCUGUGCCAUGACACUUUGCCUUGGUUGAAUGCACAGAAAGUUUAAAAAACAAUACAAACCCAAAUGGAACCAAAGAGCUCAUGGAACAGGAAUAUCCAAAUGCCUCAGGGUGAGCUGAUGGGAUGGGAGCCACAUCCUGACAAGAACCUCAUGGAGCAAAAUCUUCCACUCCUUUAAGAGGGAUGCUCUUGCUUUCUGUGCCCAAGGAUCUUCUGAGGUCUCCAGGUUAUUAUAACCCUUCUUCUAACAAACAUUUUUAUUAGAGAACAUGUAUUUCCUAAAAAAAUUGAUUUGAUUUGAUUUGAUGACACAACCUGAAGGAUACCACAAGUCACUUUUCUCCCAGAUCUUUAUAGCCCUGUAUGGAAAUGGUUCAAACAGCUGCCAGAAUUGUCCAGUUUCACACAACUGAGAUGAAGGCACAGAAAUGGUAAAGCUCACUUUAAAAAUCACUGCUUUUGAGAGAGGGAUAUCAAACAUCUCUCUUUUGGACAGGAACAAAGAUGAGUGGCUGAGAUUUCUUGCCAAACCCCACUAAAGUAGUUUGUCUGUUGUUAAUUGUAUGCUUGUCACACUUUCAAGGCUCUAAAGGUCAUGUCUUGGGGGUCACUCCUGUUUCUCCUUUCAGACAUGGCCAGGUGGGACUGUGAGUUUGACCUGCCUCCAAUUCCACAAGGAGCAAAAUCCUGAGGCUGUCUGGAU